rnacentral:lncRNA from 1 species
CUCAGAGGUUUCUGCAAAGACUAAGAUUCUAUGAUUGUAUUCUCUCAUUUCUCCCAGUGUUCUAAGGGCGAGCUGCCAUCACAAGACUGGGACGUUGGCUCCUCCAGCAGCUCUGUGCGCGCGCGGAGAAUAGCGGAAGGAGACGUGAGGAGAAUCCUCGGGCCGAAAUACAAUAGGAUUCAAGGAAAGUCUGAAGGGCGGACCUGCCCUGAAUAUGAAACGACCAAAAUCAGCUAACGAAAGUAAAGGCAAGAUGCUCAAGUAACCUGCUCCAGUUCCUAUGGGUGAGAAAUGAGAUCAAGGCUCACCACUCAAUCAGAACAGAUGGUCGUUGAACAAUUCCCAGAUGCACAUGAUAUGUGCCUAACCCAUGAUGGAAUCAGGAUGAGAAAGCUAGAGCGGACUAUACAUUGUCCAGAAAUAUCCCUUCUCUAGGCCUUUGCCUUACCAGCUUCUGUCUGAGACUUUCUCUGGAAGACUGCCCUGGGCAACUGGAACCACUUUGCCCACCUGGCAGAGCCUGGAAUGCCUGGGAUUUUAAGGAUCCCAAGAUUGUCCUUAGACAAGUACUGACUGGUACAGGAGGAUGGAAACAAAAGAACCUUACAUACACUGAGGGUCAUCUGAUGCAUGGUGUGCACAUCUAACACAAGCUUCGUAUUCUGUAUACUCCUGCCUUUCAAUAAGUGGCCAUUGAUAAACUGAUUCAGCUUUCUCUUAUAAUAAGCUUAAAAUAGAAUUCCAGCACCAGAAGAGUCACCACGGAUUGUUGGUCAUCUUAUGCCCUUUGGAGGACGGAUCCCUGUUAAAUUGAUUUCAGAUCACAUGGAGACGUGUUCUAAAGCAAGUAUCCACCCAGAUGAAGAGAACAGACAGAUGGACAGAGAGGACACUGGCUUCUUGCUUAAGUGUAGAACAUAUUACUGCUUUCAAGCUCCAGGCUUGGCUAGAAUAAGGCUGCCAUGGGCAAUCACUUUUGGAAGAGUCUCAGAGAUUCCCUUUAAGACAAUAUGAUUCUGGGAAAUAUAUUCUAAUGUCUUCCAGAAUCAAUUAUACUCUGAUGCUCAAAAGCUGAGCUCAAAACCGGGAGCUGAUCAACAGAGCUCCUGGUUGACAUAAUAUUGUGAUAAAAAGGAUCCACACCACUGCUCUGAUUACAGAGUCAAGAAGCAAAGCCAAUGCCUACUGAAGACCAAUAUUCAAGAGCCUGCCUCUCUUGACUCUAGGGAGGACAGACGCUGCUCGUG